AUUGAACGCUGGCGGCAGGCCUAACACAUGCAAGUCGAACGAGUGGCGGACGGGUUAGUAAUGUCUGGGAAACUGACUGAUGGAGGGGGAUAACUACUGGAAACGGUAGCUACUACCGCAUACCAUCAGAUGUGCCCAGAGUGGAUUAGCUAGUGGGUGGGGUAAAGGCUCACCAAGGCGACGAUCCAUACCUGGUAUGAGAGGAUGACCAGCCACAAUGGAACUGAGACACGGUCCAGACUCCUACGGGAGGCAGCAGUGGGGAAUAUUGCACAAGGGGCGCAAGCCUGAUGCAGCCAUGCCGCGUGUAUGAAGAAGGCCUUCGGAUUGUAAAGUACUUUAAGGUGGGAGGCGUUACCCGCAGAAGAAGCACCGGCUAACUCCGUGCCAGCAGCCGCGGUAAUAC
rnacentral:rRNA from 1 species